rnacentral:rRNA from 1 species
AGCAGUAGCCGCGGUAAUACGUAGGUGGCAAGCGUUGUCCGGAAUUAUUGGGCGUAAAGGGCUCGCAGGCGGUUUCUUAAGUCUGAUGUGAAAGCCCCCGGCUCAACCGGGGAGGGUCAUUGGAAACUGGGAAACUUGAGUGCAGAAGAGGAGAGUGGAAUUCCACGUGUAGCGGUGAAAUGCGUAGAGAUGUGGAGGAACACCAGUGGCGAAGGCGACUCUCUGGUCUGUAACUGACGCUGAGGAGCGAAAGCGUGGGGAGCGAACAGGAUUAGAGACCCGCGUAGUCCCUGUCUCUUAUAA